rnacentral:rRNA from 1 species
AGAGUUUGAUCAUGGCUCAGGACGAACGCUGGCGGCGUGCCUAACACAUGCAAGUCGAACGGUCUAAUGUUCAGCACUGAAUGUUUACUACAGAGAACUUGGUAAAGCCGCGGACGCGACCGAAAGAGAGCGUCGAAGCGACCAACAAAGUGCCAACACGGGAGCGAAGUUGGAAAGAAGUAGAGGAACAUUGAGUGUUGGACAUUAGAUAGUGGCGGACGGGUGNAGUAACGCGUGGGUAACCUACCCAUAAGUGGGGGAUAACAGUUGGAAACGACUGCUAAUACCGCAUAAGCUUCAAUUGUCAAAAGGCAGAUGAAGUAAAGGAGGCCUCUGAAUAUGCUNUCCGCUUAUGGAUGGGUCCGCGUCUGAUUAGCUAGUUGGUAAGGUAACGGCCUACCAAGGCAACGAUCAGUAGCCGGCCUGAGAAGGGUGAACGGCCACACUGGGACUGAGACACGGCCCAGACUCCUACUGGAGGCAGCAGUGGGGAAUAUUGCGCAAUGGGGGAAACCCUGACGCACCGACGCCGCGUGGAGCGAUGAAGGCCCUUAAGGUCGCCAAACUCCUGUUUUAAAGGACGAAACGGUCUUUGGUAAUAAUACCACCCAACGAAUGACGGUACCUUACAAGA